rnacentral:rRNA from 1 species
UACGAAGGGGGCUAGCGUUGCUCGGAAUUACUGGGCGUAAAGCGCACGUAGGCGGCUUCUUAAGUCGGGGGUGAAAGCCUGUGGCUCAACCACAGAAUGGCCUUCGAUACUGGGACGCUUGAGUAUGGUAGAGGUUGGUGGAACUGCGAGUGUAGAGGUGAAAUUCGUAGAUAUUCGCAAGAACACCGGUGGCGAAGGCGGCCAACUGGACCAUUACUGACGCUGAGGCGCGAAAGCGUGGGGAGCAAACAGG